GUUGUGGAGAUCAAAACACACACAUCUCAUCUUCAGAAUACACACAAAUCUCAUCUUCAGUUUAUGGUUAGCUAACCAAAGAAGGAACCCCUCCAGCAGCUUCUAGCAUGGUCGUCAACAACAACCAGGAUAACAUAAACAACAGGUUAGUACAUAUGCAUUGACAAUAUGAUUUAGCUCCAUAUUUUCUUUGCUGAUCCACAUCUCACUGAUAGAACAUACAAAUAUUUUCAGCAUUUCUUGCUGAUUUACACACAUUUCAAUGGAUCCAAGCUAUCACAGGAGGUCACAGAUGGAGGAUGAAUUCAUGUUAUUUGUCUUCCCUACCAUGGAAGAAGGAAG
rnacentral:lncRNA from 1 species